rnacentral:rRNA from 1 species
AAUCAACGCUGGCGGCGUGCCUAACACAUGCAAGUCGAACGCGAAAGCCCCGCAAGGGGUCAGUAGAGUGGCAAACGGGUGAGUAACACGUGGGUGACCUGCCUUCGAGUGGGGGAUAACGUCCCGAAAGGGACGCUAAUACCGCAUCAUAUGCUGCCUUUGAAGAGGUGGACAUCAAAGCUGGGGAUCGCAAGACCUAGCGCUUGAAGAGGGGCCCGCGCCUGAUUAGCUAGUUGGUGGGGUAAUGGCUCACCAAGGCUACGAUCAGUAUCCGGCCUGAGAGGGCGGACGGACACACUGGGACUGAGACACGGCCCAGACUCCUACGGGAGGCAGCAGUGGGGAAUUGUUCGCAAUGGGCGCAAGCCUGACGACGCAACGCCGCGUGGAGGAUGAAGACC